CUAUGGAGACAAAGCGAGCUGGUGCUCCACAUUGUCACUUAGCGGUUGCUAUAGUAACGCAGGCCAGUGUUGUCAGUCAUGUCCGGGUAGGGCGUUGAGUAUUCCCAAUUGCCCUUAUGGGGACCGAGCAUCAGGAUGCGAUGUAACAUUAUGCCCCUCAUAUACCGAGAACACAAGAACUGUGAGCUGCUGUCUGACAUGCGCACAUGCUACCACUACAACUACAACAGCUGCUACAACUACUACAACUGCAGCUUAUACCACUACAAAUGCUGUUCCUACCACUUCAACUGCUGCUCCUACCACUACAACUGCUGCUCCUACCACUUCAACUGCUGCUCCUACCACUACAACUUCAGCUCCCACCACUACAACAGCCGCUCUAACAAGUACAAAUGAUGCGCCAACUACUUCCACAGCUGCUCCUACCACUACAACUGCUGCCCUCAAAACAACAACCGAAGCUCCUACCACUACAAGCGCUGCUCCUUCCACUACGCUUGCUGAUCUUACCUUUUCAACUGCAACUGUUGCCACUACAACUGCAACGUCUACCCAUAAAACAGCUGCUCCUAUAACUACAACUGUGAUUUUUUCAGCUGCAAAUGCUACCACUUCAACCACAACUGCUUCAAUUUCCAAUGCAUCUCCUACUACAACCACUAUUACUGUUGCUCCUACCACUAAAUUGGUAGCUUUUUCAUCAAAAAAUGCAGCUCCAGCCACAACAACUCCAGUUUCAACCACCACAAAAGUAGCUUAUACAACAUCAAAAUCCGCGCCAACUACCGCUACUAGCACAACUGAAGUGUUCAGUACCCGCAUCACUGUGAUUAUAAUGCGAUUUCCACUUCAUCUCGUCAACAUCGACUUCGGAUAUCCAUUUUCCAUUUCAUACAGAAACCUGAUUAUUGACCUAAGAUAUCAGUUGUUGAUUGUUUACCAGAAUACAAUGAGGCGACGAGUAAGAGACAUAGUCAU